rnacentral:rRNA from 1 species
AUGCAUGUCUAAGUAUAAGCAACUAUACUGUGAAACUGCGAAUGGCUCAUUAAAUCAGUUAUCGUUUAUUUGAUAGUACCUUACUACUUGGAUAACCGUGGUAAUUCUAGAGCUAAUACAUGCUAAAAACCUCGACUUCGGAAGGGGUGUAUUUAUUAGAUAAAAAACCAAUGCCCUUCGGGGCUCCUUGGUGAUUCAUAAUAACUUAACGAAUCGCAUGGCCUUGUGCCGGCGAUGGUUCAUUCAAAUUUCUGCCCUAUCAACUUUCGAUUAUAGGGUUUUGGCCUAUAAUGGUUUCAACGGGUAACGGGGAAUUAGGGUUCUAUUCCGGAGAGGGAGCCUGAGAAACGGCUACCACAUCCAAGGAAGGCAGCAGGCGCGCAAAUUACCCAAUCCCGACACGGGGAGGUAGUGACAAUAAAUACUGAUACAGGGCUCUUUUGGGUCUUGUAAUUGGAAUGAGUACAAUUUAAAUCCCUUAACGAGGAACAAUUGGAGGGCAAGUCUGGUGCCAGCAGCCGCGGUAAUUCCAGCUCCAAUAGCGUAUAUUAAAGUUGUUGCAGUUAAAAAGCUCGUAGUUGAACCUUGGGCCUGGCUGGCCGGUCCGCCUCACCGCGUGCACUGGUCCGGCCGGGCCUUUCCUUCUGAGGAGCCGCAUGCCCUUCACUGGGUGUGUCGGGGAAUCAGGACUUUUACUUUGAAAAAAUUAGAGUGUUCAAAGCAGGCCUUUGCUCGAAUACAUUAGCAUGGAAUAAUAGAAUAGGACGUGUGGUUCUAUUUUGUUGGUUUCUAGGACCGCCGUAAUGAUUAAUAGGGAUAGUCGGGGGUGUCAGUAUUCAAUUGUCAGAGGUGAAAUUCUUGGAUUUAUUGAAGACUAACUACUGCGAAAGCAUUCACCAAGGAUGUUUUCAUUAAUCAGUGAACGAAAGUUAGGGGAUCGAAGACGAUCAGAUACCGUCGUAGUCUUAACCAUAAACUAUGCCGACUAGGGAUCGGGCGAUGUUAUCUUUUUGACU